rnacentral:ncRNA from 1 species
AAUGGUAGAGGCGCGGCAGCGAAGAGUAUCCGAGCAGCAGGACGGGCAAUCCUCCGGAGAAAGGCGCGGCCGCCGAAGGGCUGUCCGGUGCCCCUUGCGGACAGUUGCCUGGGCUGUGGGACAAUAUCCCCCAGACUGCCACAUAGCUUGUGGAGCGUUAUC